GAAGGGGGCUAGCGUUGCUCGGAAUGAUUGGGCGUAAAGGGUGCGUAGGUGGCAGAUCAAGUCUGGAGUAAAAGGUAUGGGCUCAACCCGUACUGGCUCUGGAAACUGAUCAGCUAGAGAACAGAAGAGGACGGCGGAACUCCAUGUGUAGCGGUAAAAUGCGUAGAUAUAUGGAAGAACACCGGUGGCGAAGGCGGCCGUCUGGUCUGAUUCUGACACUGAAGCACGAAAGCGUGGGGAGCAAAUAGGAUUAGAUACCCUAGUAGUCCACGCCGUAAACGAUGAGAACUAGGUGUUGGGGGAAUAACUCAGUGCCGCAGUUAACGCAGUAAGUUCUCCGCCUGGGGAGU
rnacentral:rRNA from 1 species